rnacentral:rRNA from 1 species
AUACGGAGGAUCCGAGCGUUAUCCGGAUUUAUUGGGUUUAAAGGGAGCGUAGGUGGAUUGUUAAGUCAGUUGUGAAAGUUUGCGGCUCAACCGUAAAAUUGCAGUUGAAACUGGCAGUCUUGAGUACAGUAGAGGUGGGCGGAAUUCGUGGUGUAGCGGUGAAAUGCUUAGAUAUGACGAAGAACACCGAUUGCGUAGGCAGCUGACCAGACCGCAAAUGACGCUCAUGCACGAAAGUGCGGGGAUCGAACAGGAUUAGAUACCCUGGUAGUCCGCACAGUAAACGAUGAAUACUUGUUUUCGGCGAUAUAAUGUCGGAGGCAAAGCGAAAGCGAUAAGUAUUCCACCUGGGGAGUACGCCGGCAACGGUGAAACUCAAAUGAAUUGACGGGG